ensembl:lncRNA
AGUAACUCCCCAUGUUAAUGAACAUCUACAUGGAAUGGCUACAACAAACCAUGUACAAACUGUAACCCCUGUAGCACAGGAAAUAAUUGUUGAUGAGGCAUGUGAAGCUGGUGAGAUGUUUUCCUCAAGCACAGAAGAUGAUGAAGAGGAAGAGGAUUGCCUAAGGACACAAUUGGCAGGGUGGGCUAUUGACAACAUGAUCCACCAUGUGGCACUUGGUAAGCUUUUAACCAUUUUGUCCAAGGAUCAUCCAACCCUUCCUAAAGACCCAAGAACCCGUCUUAAAACGGUGACUUGUGUUAAAACAACAGAACUCUCAGGUGGUUUCUCACCAGUGGUCCAGUCUCCACUUCUAAGAGCCAAGAGUUUGAGUAAAAGCGCAGAUCAGACCCUAAUGCUGCGACGUCUUGGGAGAGUUUGGCGAUGUUGUGCGUAGCAUGGAAAACAAAAUGGACACAUUGCUGCAACAUUUCAGUGCCAAUGUGUCUGUUGGAGAGUUAUCCCUGCCCAGUGGUCUUUUACUCCCCAUAAACACCCAGGAAGAUUUGGCGUUGCUUGACAGCAGCUUGAGGCAGGAUAGCGAGCUCCAGGAACGAUUUGUAAGUGUGCUGCUAUUGUUUCUAACGCUGUAGGUU